GUGAGUCAUCGAAUCUUUGAACGCACAUUGCACCCUUUGGUAUUCCGAAGGGUAUGCCUGUUUGAGUGUCAUUAAAUUCUCAAACUGAUGAUGGUUUUAUUUACUGUCUUCAGUUUGGAUCUGAGGGCUUUGUCGGACUCUAACGAGGUCGACUCCCUUUAAAAGCAUUAGCGGAUUUGACCAUCGCGGAUACGCCUCGAUUUGAUAAUAUCUAUGUCGUCGCGCUGAAGCGGUAAUCUGCUCCUAAUCGUCUUCGGACAAUUUACUUUGACAAUUUGACCUCAAAUCAGGUAGGACUAC
rnacentral:misc_RNA from 1 species